UAUAUUUUAUUAUUUUUCUUUUCCGUCAAGCUGGUGAAGGAGAAGGAAGAAGAAAUGGCGAAAAUAAUAACAGUAGAACAGCUCUGUUUGUUUACGUUUACUGCUUAUUCAUGUUCCUGUAUUUAAUCUUUUACGGAAGUUCCGUUUUACAACAAAGCCUCAGUAGUCAGCGAAAAGUCAGCAAAAGUUGGUGGAAAUUCCGACUUUCUGAUUCUUCUAAUGAUGGUGGCGCUGGUGAUAGAUCCAUCGGUAUCCUUAUCGGUGCAUUGGUUGUAUUUGGAAGCUUUUCUCUAUUAGU
rnacentral:ribozyme from 1 species